CUGAUUGGUGUUAAGAGACAAAAUAAGAAGGCGUUGACAGUCAAAGCUGAUUAAUGAUUUAUUCUUGUUGUGUCAGCUCUAUGGCAUGGCUAUAAGUUUUUUUAAUUUUCUAUUUUUUUUAAUUUUUUAAUUUUUUACUUUUUAACUUUUUUUCCUCCAUUUUUUCAUUGUCAUAUACAUGUCGUUUACGAUUAUACCAAAUUAUUCACGAUUUGCUCG
rnacentral:lncRNA from 1 species